AAGCCCGACAUGCCACGCCGUCUGGUGGAUGACCAGGCUUGAGCGCCGAAGAAGGGCGCGGCAAGCAGCGAAAUGCCACGGGUAAGCGCAUGCAGCUGUAGAUCCGUGGAUACCUCAAUGAGACUUCUUGUCGCGAAAUCCGAAAGGACUUCGUGACGUUCCGAAAGGAACGGGAACCCCCAAAACGGAAACAUCUUAGUAAGGGGAGGAAAAGAAACCAAUUGGGAUUCCCCUAGUAGCGGCGAGCGAAAAGGGAAAAGUCCAAACCAAACUCCACAAGGAAACUUGUGGCGAAUGUAGUGUUGCGGGUCCAGCCGCCUUCUCCCUGACCAAGCCAAAGUCGCCUGAAACGGCGCACCAAAGAGGAUGAAAGUUCCGUAGGCAUAAACCAGAAGAAGCAGGGCUGGAAUCCCAGAGUACCAUUCCCUGGUUUGGGAAUGGAAAACUGGAAGUCACCAACUUCCAAGACUAAACACGACUCAAGACCGAUAGCGCACUAGUACGGUGACGGAAAAUUGAAAAGCACCCCGGAAGGGGGAUGAAAAGAGCCUGAAACCAGACGGUCACAGACGUGUGCAGCCCCAAAGGACAGACUCCCCUCAAAGAAAACCAUGGCAACGUGGCAAUCAAGAGGGGACGACCAGGGUUGCACUCUCCGUCUAGAAACACGGGCCGGGGAGUUCACGAUUGUGGCAAGCCUAAAGGCACAAAGCCUGCAAGCAAAGGGAAACCAACAAGCGCACAAACAGCUUCGGCUGGUGAGGCGCGAGGUCCGAAAAGGCCUGGAGUCACAACCGUGAGACUAGAAACCGGACGAUCUAGCCUUGAGCAGGGCGAAGUCAGGCGAAAGCUUGAUGGAGGCCCGAAAGGGUGUUGACGUGCAACUCACUCCUCAGACUUGAGGCUAGGGGCGAAAGACCAAUCUAGCCCGGUGAUAGCUAGUUCCCUCCGAAGUGGGUCGCAGCCCAGCCCCAAGCGAGGUAGCUGAUGGGGUAGAGCACUGAUUGGAAAGUAAGGGAUCGAAAGAUCCCGCUUUUCUUUCAAACUCCGAAUCUAUCAGCGCCGUAGACCUUGGGAGACGGGUUCGUGGGGGUAAGCUCCAUGUCCGAGAGGGGAACAACCCAGACUGAGGUUAAGGCCCCAAAGUGCUGGCUAAGUGUUAAACUGAAAGGUGUCAUCAGCCCCAGACAGCGGGGAGGUAGGCUUAGAAGCAGCCACCCUUCAAAGAAAGCGUAACAGCUCACCCGCCGAGGCUGAUGGCCCUGAAAAUGGACGGGGCUAAGCCAGCCGCCGAUACCCCAGGGUGCAGUUCAGCACUGCAAUCCGGUAGGAGGGCGUCCCGACUGGGCGGAAGCCAGGCUGUAAGGUCUGGUGGACCGGUUCGGGAGUGAAAAUCCCGGUGGUAGUAACAGCAAAGAGAGGUGAGAAUCCUCUCCGCCGAAAGGGCAAGGGUUCCCCAGCAAUGCGUCGUCAGCUGGGGGUAAGUCGGUCCUAAGACUGAGCCUAACCGACUCAGCCGAAAGGGAAGCUGGUUAAAAUUCCCGCACCACAGAGGUACACGUGGCGACACAAGCUCAACAUCUGACGCUUCGGAGUAGACUGAGCAAGGCUAUCGCCUUGUUUAACCGCAUAAACCUGGGGAGUGCCGUAAUGGCGAGAACCAGGCGAAAACGGGAAUAGCUGCCCGUUUUUAGGACAGUUCAGUCAAUCUCUGGAGCCCAUGAAAAGGAUGUUGGGAAGGACCCUCUGUGUCCGUACCCAGAACCGUCACAGGUGUCCCUAGGCGAGGAACCUAAGGCGUGUCGGGUGUACACCAAGCGAGGGAAAUCGGCAAGUUAGCCCCGUAACUUCGGGAUAAGGGGUGCCUGCAGUUUUGGCUUCGGCUGGGACUGCAGGUCGCAGUAGCAAAGGGGGCCCGACUGUUUAAUAAAAACACAGGAAGCCGCAAGCCUGAAAAGGUGUGUACGGCUUCUGAAUCCUGGCCACUACAGGUACCUGAAACCUGGGUUCAACCGGGCUAAGGGCCUGCAAAAGCCGGGAGUAACUCUGACUCUCUCAAGGUAGCCAAAUGCCUUGUCGGGUAAGUUCCGACGUGCAUGAAUGGAGCAACGAGGUCCCCGCUGUCCCCGCUUGGUACCCGGUGAACCCACGUAAAGUGGACGAACAGUCCACUGACUCCCAGCGGGAAAAGAAGACCCCGUGGAGUUUUACUGC
rnacentral:rRNA from 1 species